ACNGCGGUCGACGAUUCCUACGGGAGGCAGCAGUGGGGAAUAUUGGACAAUGGGCGAAAGCCUGAUCCAGUGAUAUCGCUUUAGGGAUGACAGCGACAUACGUUGUAAACCUAAUGGAAUAUGUUUAGAUUAUGACCGUACAUAUUUUAGAAGUCCCGGCUAAUCUCGUGCCAGCAGCCGCGGUAAUACGAGAGGGGCGAGCGUUAUUCAAAAUGAUUGGGCGUAAAGCGCACGUAGGUGGUGAUAUGUAUCCAUAAAUAUUCAGGCUACAAGUCUUGUCGGUAUUUAUGACGUAUAUGUAUCGCUUGAGGGUGUGAGAGGAGCAUGGAAUUCCCUAGGAAGCGGUAGAAUGUGUUGAUCUAGGGAGGAACACCAAUAGCGAAAGCAGUGCUCUGGCACAUUCCUGACAUUGAGGUGCGAAAGCGUGGGGAUCAAAAGGGAUUAGAUACCCCUGUAGUCCACGCUGUCAACGAUGACCAUUCCCUGUAUUUUGAGUAUUUCAAGGUGUAGGUUAGCUAACGCGGUAAAUGGUCCGCCUGAGGAGUACGGUCGCAAGACUAAAACUCAAAGGAAUUGACGG
rnacentral:rRNA from 1 species